AUUGAACGCUGGCGGCAGGCCUAACACAUGCAAGUCGAGCGGAUGAGUGGAGCUUGCUCCAUGAUUCAGCGGCGGACGGGUGAGUAAUGCCUAGGAAUCUGCCUGGUAGUGGGGGACAACGUUUCGAAAGGAACGCUAAUACCGCAUACGUCCUACGGGAGAAAGUGGGGGAUCUUCGGACCUCACGCUAUCAGAUGAGCCUAGGUCGGAUUAGCUAGUUGGUGAGGUAAAGGCUCACCAAGGCGACGAUCCGUAACUGGUCUGAGAGGAUGAUCAGUCACACUGGAACGGAGACACGGUCCAGACUCCUACGGGAGGCAGCAGUGGGGAAUAUUGGACAAUGGGCGAAAGCCUGAUCCAGCCAUGCCGCGUGUGUGAAGAAGGUCUUCGGAUUGUAAAGCACUUUAAGUUGGGAGGAAGGGCAGUAAGUUAAUACCUUGCUGUUUUGACGUUACCCACAGAAUAAGCACCGGCUAACUUCGUGCCAGCAGCCGCGGUAA
rnacentral:rRNA from 1 species